rnacentral:rRNA from 1 species
UGGGGAAUCUUGCACAAUGGGGGCAACCCUGAUGCAGCGACGCCGCGUGAGCGAUGAAGCCCUUCGGGGCGUAAAGCUCUUUCGACCGGAACGAUAAUGACGGUACCGGGAGAAGAAGCUGCGGCUAACUACGUGCCAGCAGCCGCGGUAAUACGUAGGCAGCAAGCGUUGUUCGGAGUUACUGGGCGUAAAGAGUGCGUAGGCGGUUUUCUAAGUUCGGUGUGAAAUCUCCCGGCUUAGCUGGGAGGGUGCGCCGAAGACUGGGAAGCUGGAGUGUGGGAAAGGCAGGCGGAAUUCCUGGUGUAGCGGUGAAAUGCGUAGAUAUCACGCAGAACUCCGAUUGCGAAGGCAGCUUACUAAGCUACAACUGACACUGAAGCACGAAAGCGUGGGGAUCAAAC